rnacentral:lncRNA from 1 species
ACUCAGGAAUGGACAGUAUCCCAGUCCUCCAGAGCUCAGACCUUUGCUAUGAACAUCACAAAUAUCUAGAAGGAAGAUGCUAUGCAGGCCAAGACACACUCCUGCUCUGUAUGGGCAGACUUCGGGCAGAAACUACAGUGCAUCGGGAAUCCCGUGUGGGUGUCAGGAGAACAGAGCAUGGGAACCUACAAGACCCGGAACAACACCUGGCUGGGACAGGAGAACACCAGGGCAGUGCACAACUGGGAUUUCAGUCUCCCGUGUCAUCUCCUGCGUCCACUGGUGCCACUGAGGGCAGCUAGACUCUGCAGCCAGGCGUCCUGGAUUCAACUGCCUGCCUGGGUCUCACCAGCACUUUCCCUCUUGGUGCCUCAGUUUCCUCAUCUAUGAAUUGGGGAAAUUAACAGUAUUUAUUUCUUGUGGUUGGAUGAAUGAUAAGGGUUACCAUAUAUGAGGUGUUUGCAGCUGUGCCAUGUUAUUUUUGUUAUUUUGUUAUUAUAUUUUAAUAUAUCACAUGUGCAGUAAUUGUAUUAUUAUAGAUGAGCUUUAUGAGUGAGUGUCCUGGUGACGGUUCCUCCUGGGGAGCCAGGACCAGCUUUUCUGGCACCUUGAGGUCCCCUCUUCCCUGUUCCACUCUCCUGCAUUACCCUAUUCUGCUCUGUCUUCAUAUUUUAUACUAUAGAUAUUUAACGUUUAAACAGACAUUUCUGGUCUGCGUUUUAUUUCAAGUGUCUGGGAAGGGAGAGAGUGUGAGGUUCAGGAAAGAAGGAGAGGUCUGUUUCGAUGCCUUGACACAGCACAGAGAAAUCUCCCCUCCUCCCCCAUAUCUCCCCACCAGUUCUCAGUGAAGAACAGAUUCACAGCAGCACUGGAAGGGCUGAGAAGGGAUGGGGGACAUCUGCGGCCAAUGUUCAGGGGCUGACCCUGUGGGGGAGCAUCUGCCCUGCAGAGUUGGAGCCCACAUGUGAUGAUGUAGAGCUGAAGAUGGUAUCCGGGAGGUGACAGAGAGUGCUUUGGGGUUUCCUGAUUANNNNNNNNNNNNNNNNNNNNNNNNNNNNNNNNNNNNNNNNNNNNNNNNNNAUCCGGGAGGUGACAGAGAGUGCUUUGGGGUUUCCUGAUUAUGAAGAGCAGAGGUCAGUGCUUCUGGGGUGAAGUGACUGCUAGGGACAUGUGAAUGGAAUUAAUGCAGAAUAAAUGAGCUGGGAAUGAGGAUGAGUAAAGCAAGCAUCAGUAUCUCCUGCCAUCAGUUCAGACUGAUUGGGGAGGUGGGAUAGUUACUGACUCUGUUGCGUGGUUCUUCCUAACUUCCUGGUUUUGGGGGCACAGGUGGGUGGUGCUGUUCUUGGUCAGGGCAGCCUCAGCUCCAUCCAGGUAAAGCAGUGGAGGCAGAGAGAGUUAGGGGAGCACCU